GCGGCGGUCACGCGCGGCGGAGCAGGAAGCGGCGCGGGGCGGGCGGAGCCGCGCGGUCCCGGUGCCCCCCGGUUCCCGCGGCUGCUGCGGGUCUGGCCGGGCCAUGCGGUGUGUCCUGAUUGCCAGCACCGCGGCCGAGCUGCUUUUCUACUGGGCCGAUGCCGCCUUCCUCCGGCGGCUGCAGCCGCCAGACGCCGGGCAGGGCCCGGCGCUGGAGGACAGCCUCAACACCCUCUUCGCCCCCCUCAUCAUCUCCUGUGCGGCACUGCUGGAGAAGCUCGCCGACACCUACACCUGCUUCACGACCGAACACGGGCGGCACCUCCACGUCCUGCACAUGUUCGGGGACUGCCUGUACAUCGCUGUGAAUGGCGACGGGACGGAGAGCGAGGACGACCUGCGCAGGACACUGUUCGUGCUGCGGCGCUUGGUGGAGGCUCACUGCGGGCUCGUCACGCUUGACUCCCACCUCGUCCGCAAGGAGCUGCGACCACCCGAUUCGGAGCAGCGGGAGCGUGUCUGGAGCCUGCUGCGGGGCCUGCUGGAGACCUACAGCCACCUGCGGGAGGAGGACCAGAGCUUUGCGGUGGAGGCUGUGGAGCGGCUGAUCCACCCUCAACUCUGUGAGCAGUGCAUCGAGUUCCUGGAGCGGCAGGUGGUGCAGUACAUCAACACCAGCCCUGAGCGUGGAGGGGAUGAAGUAUGCCAUGCCUUCCUCCUGGUGCACACCAAGCUGCUGGCCUUCUACUCCAGCCGCAAUGCCAGCUCCAUCCGCCCUGCUGACUUACUUGUCCUCAUCCUCCUGGUGCAGGACCUGUACCCCAGCCAAAGUGCCGAGGAGGAGCUUGGCCCCCAGCUCACAGCGGGGAAUGUGCUUCCCCAGGGACCCAGGAGAAGUGAGAGCAUCCCCAUGAGCAGCCCUGGCUCCCAUGGAGCUGUGGAGAAGGACUCGGAUGACCAGCAGGACACAGACGAUCUCUCAGUGCCCGAGAUUUACUACACACCUGAGCCUUCUCCGAGCAGGGACAGCAUGGGCAGCGAGAGCUGGUCAGAGGGCGCUGAGACACUGAGCACCAGGGAGUCAGAUGCUGCAGAUGUCCAGAUGGCAGAGGACUUGCUCCAGACCUUGGGGCCUCUAGUCCCUGAAGCUUCAAACCCCAGAAGGAUCUUCCUGGACACGAACCUGCGAGAAGGUUACUGCCCCUUGCUGCCGCACACCAUGCACUGCCUCCCGCUCUGGCCAGGCAUCUCCCUCGUCCUCCUGACCAAGCAGGGCCCCACAACCCAGGUGGCGGUCACCUUGUACCAGCUUCUGGAUGGUUUUUUGGUGCUGGAGAGGAAGCUGGAAGAGGGGCCAGAGGUGGGAGCCCCACGCUCCUACCCAUUCCUGGCUGAGCUGCGGCAGCGCAUGGACAAGUUUGUGAAGAAGCUGAGUGGGCAGGACAUCCAGUUGCAGAACUCCUGGGUGGACUUGAAGAACAAGAUAUUUUCGCGGAGUGAGCCUGGAAGCUCCCUGGAGCUGCUGCAGGCAGUGGCCAACGUGAAGCGGCAGCUCUGCUCUGUGUACCGCCAGCUCUUCCUGGCCUCUGCCAGCCACAGCCUGUCCCAGGGGCUGCGGGACCGUGCCCAGAAGCUGAUGAGGGAGAAGCUGCUGGACUGGCGGGACUUCCUGCUGGUGAAGAGCAGGCGUAAUAUCACCAUGGUGUCAUACCUGGAGGACUUUCCUGGCCUGGUGCAUUUCAUCUAUGUGGACCGCACAGCUGGGCAGAUGAUGGCACCAUCGCUCAGCAUGACAGAGAAGUCCAGCUCUGAGCUGGGAAAGGGCCCACUGGCCACUUUCAUCAAGAAGAAGGUCUGGUCCCUGAUCGCGUUGACCCGGCGAUACCUACAGAAGGGCUACACCACACUCAUGCUGCAGGAUGGCGACUACUGCUGCUCCUACUUCCUCUGGUUUGAGAAUGAGCUGGUAUGUGGGGCCAGGAAGGGACUGAGCCCCUCUUCCCUGUCACCUUCUGGGGGCAGGGAGCAGGGCUGUAGGCACAGUCGUGGCUCCUCAGCGGUCCUUUCCCUGCCCCUGCCCUCUGCUGUCAUCUCUCCCCAGGGCUACAAGCUGGAAGUGAUGGAGGUGCCAGUCCUUGCUGAUGAUUCUGCUCCUGUUGGGAUGCUCGCAGGAGACUACUACAGGAAGCUGCUGCGUUACUACAGCAAGAACCACCAGGCAGAGGUGGUGAAGUGCUACGAGCUGCUGACGGUGCACCUGGGCAUCAUCCCCUCUGAGCUCGUGGUCCAGCAGGCCUGCGACUUGGCUCGGCGCCUCUGGGAACCCUCUCGCAUUCCCCUGCUCUGAGCUGCCUCCAUUUACCUUGGGACAGGAUUAAAGCGGGGCACAACGGGCUGGUGGCAGUGAGUACCGAGAGCAGGGUGCUGUCUGUCCUCCAUCCCCGGGGGACAGUGGAGGGCCAGGGAUGGUCUGUGCUGUGGGCAAGAGAAGGUGCUGGUGGCAGUGCCCAUGGGGCUGGAGGUUCCCACAGCGCUGUGGCAAGCAGGAGUGGCACCAUGUGCAAGAGGAUGAUUGGGGCGACAAGGUUGCAUCCCACCUGAAGUGAUAAGCAGUGUGAUGCUGUGCUUCCUGCAGGCUGCCUACCUGCAGCGGGCAGGGCUACGCACAGCUGUGCUAGAGAAACGCCAUGUGCUGGGCGGCGCAGCUGUCACGGAGGAGAUUGUGCCAGGCUUCAAGUUCUCCCGGGCAUCCUACCUGCUUAGCCUGCUGCGACCAC